rnacentral:rRNA from 1 species
UACGUAGGGGGCUAGCGUUGUCCGGAAUCAUUGGGCGUAAAGCGCGCGUAGGCGGUCAGGAAAGUCCGGUGUGAAAGUCAUAGGCUCAACCUAUGGAUGCCGCUGGAAACUGCCUGACUUGAGUCCGGAAGGGGCGAGUGGAAUUCCUGGUGUAGCGGUGAAAUGCGCAGAUAUCAGGAGGAACACCAGUGGCGAAAGCGGCUACCUGGACCGGAACUGACGCUGAUGCGCGAAAGCGUGGGUAGCAAACAGG